AUUGAACGCUGGCGGCAGGCCUAACACAUGCAAGUCGAGCGGAAGAAGGGAGCUUGCUCCUGGAUUCAGCGGCGGAAGGGUGAGUAAUGCCUAUGAAUCUGCUUGGCUGUGGGUGAUAAUGUCCGGAAAAGGGCGCUACUACUGCAUACGACCUGCGGGUGCAACUGGGGGAUCUUUGGACCUUUCCCUAGCAGAUGGAUCUAGGUCGGAUUAGCUAGAUGGUGGGGUAAAGGCCUACCAAGGCGACGAUUCGUAACUGGUCUGAGAGGAUGAUCAGUCGCACUGGAACUUGGACACGGUCCAUACUCCUACGGGAGGCAGCAGAGGGGAAUAUUGGACAAUGGGCGAAAGCCUGGUCCAGCCAUGCCGCGUGUGUGAAGAAGGUCUUCCGAGUGGAAAGCACGUUAAGUUGGGAGGAAGGGCAGUAAGUUGAUACCUUGCUGUAUUGACGUUACCAACAGAAUAAGCACCGGCUAACUUCGUG
rnacentral:rRNA from 1 species